AACGAACGCUGGCGGCAGGCUUAACACAUGCAAGUCGAACGGGUGUAGCAAUACAUCAGUGGCAGACGGGUGAGUAACACGUGGGAACCUUCCUAGGGGUACGGAACAACUCAGGGAAACUUGAGCUAAUACCGUAUACGUCCGAAAGGAGAAAGAUUUAUCGCCCUUAGACGGGCCCGCGUCGGAUUAGCUAGUUGGUGGGGUAACGGCCUACCAAGGCAACGAUCCGUAGCUGAUCUGAGAGGAUGAUCAGCCACACUGGGACUGAGACACGGCCCAGACUCCUACGGGAGGCAGCAGUGGGGAAUCUUGGACAAUGGGCGCAAGCCUGAUCCAGCCAUGCCGCGUGAGUGAAGAAGGCCUUAGGGUUGUAAAGCUCUUUUGGCAGGGACGAUAAUGACGGUACCUGCAGAAUAAGCCCCGGCAAACUUCGUGCCAGCCGCCGCAGUAACAC
rnacentral:rRNA from 1 species